UACAUGGGGUGCAAACGUUGCUCGGAAUUAUUGGGCGUAAAGCGCACGUAGGCGGUUCGUUAAGUCGGAUGUGAAAGCCCUCGGCUCAACUGAGGAAGUGCACCCGAAACUGGCGAGCUUGAGUACGAAAGAGGAUCGCGGAAUUCCCGGUGUAGAGGUGAAAUUCGUAGAUAUCGGGAAGGAACACCGGUGGCGAAGGCGGCGAUCUGGGUCGAUACUGACGCUGAGGUGCGAAAAGCGUGGGGAGCAAACAGGG
rnacentral:rRNA from 1 species